rnacentral:rRNA from 1 species
UAGGGAAUCUUCCGCAAUGGGCGAAAGCUUGACGGAGCAACGCCGCGUGAGUGAUGAAGGUCUUCGGAUCGUAAAAAUCUGUUAUUAGGGAAGAACAAAUGUGUAAGUAACUAUGCACGUCUUGACGGUACCUAAUCAGAAAGCCACGGCUAACUACGUGCCAGCAGCCGCGGUAAUACGUAGGUGGCAAGCGUUAUCCGGAAUUAUUGGGCGUAAAGCGCGCGUAGGCGGUUUUUUAAGUCUGAUGUGAAAGCCCACGGCUCAACCGUGGAGGGUCAUUGGAAACUGGAAAACUUGAGUGCAGAAGAGGAAAGUGGAAUUCCAGGUGUAGCGGUGAAAUGCGCAGAGAUAUGGAGGAACACCAGUGGCGAAGGCGACUUUCUGGUCUGUAACUGACGCUGAUGUGCGAAAGCGUGGGGAUCAAACAGG